rnacentral:rRNA from 1 species
ACGCUCGACACCUACUGGAGGCAGCAGUGGGGAAUAUUGCACAAUGGGGGAAACCCUGAUGCAGCGACGCCGCGUGAGCGAAGAAGUAUUUCGGUAUGUAAAGCUCUAUCAGCAGGGAAGAAACUGACGGUACCUGACUAAGAAGCACCGGCUAAAUACGUGCCAGCAGCCGCGGUAAUACUGAGCGGGCGUGGCGAAGGAC